CGCGCAGAUUAGAUAGUUGGUGAGGUAACGGCUCACCAAGUCAAUGAUCUUUAGGGGGCCUGAGAGGGUGAUCCCCCACACUGGUACUGAGACACGGACCAGACUCCUACGGGAGGCAGCAGUGAGGAAUAUUGGACAAUGGGUGGAAGCCUGAUCCAGCCAUCCCGCGUGAAGGACGACGGCCCUAUGGGUUGUAAACUUCUUUUGUACAGGGAUAAACCUACUCUCGUGAGGGUAGCUGAAGGUACUGUACGAAUAAGCACCGGCUAACUCCGUGCCAGCAGCCGCGGUAAUACGGAGGGUGCGAGCGUUAUCCGGAUUUAUUGGGUUUAAAGGGUCCGCAGGCGGGCUAGUAAGUCAGUGGUGAAAGCCUACAGCUUAACUGUAGAACUGCCGUUGAUACUGCUAGUCUUGAGUAUAGUUGAGGUAGCUGGAAUGAGUAGUGUAGCGGUGAAAUGCAUAGAUAUUACUCAGAACACCGAUUGCGAAGGCAGGUUACCAAGUUAUAACUGACGCUGAGGGACGAAAGCGUGGGGAGCGAACAGGAUUAGAUACCCUGGUAGUCCACGCCGUAAACGAUGCUAACUCGUUUUUGGGCUUUAGGGUUCAGAGACUAAGCGAAAGUGAUAAGUUAGCCACCUGGGGAGUACGACCGCAAGGUUGAAACUCAAAGGAAUUGA
rnacentral:rRNA from 1 species